rnacentral:tRNA from 1 species
UGUGGCUCAGUGGUAGAGCAUUUGCCUUGAAUGUGUGAGGCCUUGGGUUCAAUUCUCAGCA